rnacentral:sRNA from 1 species
AAACUAGAAUAUUUGAUCUUUAUUCCAAGCAUUUGUUCAAAUGCAGCCAAGAUAAAAAAAAUAAUUCUUUCAGGUCAUACAAAAAGAUAAUGUAUACAUGACUAACAAGUGAACCUUUGUUCUUGCUAACAAAAACAAAUCAUGGUAUCAAAUGAGUGGACACAACACAUCUUGACUGAUCAAUAAGUGGACACAUAACAUAUCUUGACCAAUUAGACAUUCUUCACUUAGUUUAAAGUUUCUGACAUGUUAUUAAUAGUAAUGUGUCUUCACUUAUUGAUUUUGCAAGUGAGAAGAAUCAAAGAUUAGGAUAAUGAAGCAAAACAAGGACUGGAAGUUUCUUUGAAACUUUGUCUUUACCUGAAACAGUUGGGAUUCAAUGUUGUAACGUAAGCAACCCCAGUACAUUAAGUGAGACCCCAGUACAUUAAGUGAGACCCCAGUACAUUAGGUGAGACCCCAGUACAUUAGGUGAGACCCCAGUACAUUAGGUGAGACCCCAGUAAAUUAAGUGAGACCCCAGUACAUUAAGUGAGACCCCAGUACAUAAGUUGAAAAAGACCAUCAAGAAAGUCUAGGUAGUUUAACUCUAGGCACAAAAUGUUAUUAUUUAUUUUACAGUCAUAACAAAAAAAAUGUUCAAUUGAAAAACAGAAAUGAAUGAAUGUUUCCAAUAGCCAAGAACUUCUAUUUAAUCUUAAAUUACAGGUCCAAUCACUUUUGCCAUACUUGUCAUGUGUACAGUACAGAAAUGAUGGCAUAGUGACCAAAAAAAGAAUUGAGACACAUGGUGACCUGUCAUUACAAACAUUUCAUAACAUAAGGAAAUUUAAACAAAUUAAAAAAAAAAA